rnacentral:rRNA from 1 species
AGAGUUUGAUCCUGGCUCAGGAUGAACGCUAGCUACAGGCUUAACACAUGCAAGUCGAGGGGCAGCGCAGUGUAGCAAUACGUGGGCGGCGACCGGCGCACGGGUGCGUAACGCGUAUCCAACCUUCCCGUUACUCUUGGAUAGCCUUCCGAAAGGGAGAUUAAUACAAGAUGGUAUUCAAAUUCCGCAUGUUAUUUGAAUUAAAGAUUUAUCGGUAACGGAUGGGGAUGCGUGACAUUAGAUAGUAGGCGGGGUAACGGCCCACCUAGUCUACGAUGUCUAGGGGUUCUGAGAGGAAGGUCCCCCACACUGGAACUGAGACACGGUCCAGACUCCUACGGGAGGCAGCAGUGAGGAAUAUUGGUCAAUGGUCGGAAGACUGAACCAGCCAAGUAGCGUGAAGGAUGAAGGUUCUAUGGAUUGUAAACUUCUUUUAUACGGGAAUAAAACCUCCCACGUGUGGGAGCUUGUAUGUACCGUAUGAAUAAGCAUCGGCUAACUCCGUGCCAGCAGCCGCGGU